rnacentral:rRNA from 1 species
UACGUAGGGUGCAAGCGUUGUCCGGAAUUAUUGGGCGUAAAGAGCUCGUAGGCGGUCUGUCGCGUCGGCUGUGAAAACCCGGGGCUCAACCCCGGGCCUGCAGUCGAUACGGGCAGACUAGAGUGCGGUAGGGGAGACUGGAAUUCCUGGUGUAGCGGUGAAAUGCGCAGAUAUCAGGAGGAACACCGGUGGCGAAGGCGGGUCUCUGGGCAUUAACUGACGCUGAGGAGCGAAAGCAUGGGGAGCGAACAGG